rnacentral:rRNA from 1 species
AAUCUGGUUGAUCCUGCCAGAAGUCAUAUGCUUGUCUUAAAGAUUAAGCCAUGCAUGUCUAAGUAUAAAUAGUAUACAGUGAAACUGCGAAUGGCUCAUUAAAACAGUUAUAGUUUAUUUGAUAGUGCAAAUUACAUGGAUAACCGUGGUAAUUCUAGAGCUAAUACAUGCGCAAAUACCGGACGCAAGAAUGGUAGCAUUUAUUAGAUUUAACCAUCACAUGGUGAAUCAUAGUAACUUAGCUGACCGCGUGUAUACGUGGUAAAUCAUUCAAGUUUCUGCCCUAUCAGCUUUCGAUGGUAGUGUAUUGGACUACCAUGGCAGUCACGGGUAACGGAGAAUUAGGGUUCGAUUCCGGAGAGGGAGCCUGAGAAACGGCUACCACAUCUAAGGAAGGCAGCAGGCGCGUAAAUUACCCAAUCCCGAUUCGGGGAGGUAGUGACAAGAAAUAGCAACUCGUGCGGGUUUCCGUUACGGGAUUGCAAUGAGAUAAGUCCAAAUCCGUAAACGAUUAACAAUUGGAGGGCAAGUCUGGUGCCAGCAGCCGCGGUAAUUCCAGCUCCAAUAGCGUAUACUUAAGUUGUUGCAGUUAAAAAGCUCGUAGUUGAAAUUCGAGUCAGUUACUAGUUGGCUCUUCGUCAGUUAGUUAAUUGAUUCUCCGUCUACAAUCCCUUUUGCGCUUUAGGGUUGCAGCUGGGCGAGUAGACAAUUUACCUUGAAAAAAUUAGAGUGUUCCAGGCAGGUCUUCGCCGGAAUACAUUAGCAUGGAAUAAUGGAAUAGGACUUGGGUCUUUUGUUGGUUUUAGGACUUGAGUAAUGAUUAAUAGGGACAGAUGGGGGCAUUAGUAUUUAAUUGUCAGAGGUGAAAUUCUUGGAUUUAUUAAAGACUAACUUAUGCGAAAGCAUUUGCCAAGGAUGUUUUCAUUAAUCAAGAACGAAAGUUAGGGGAUCAAAGACGAUCAGAUACCGUCGUAGUCUUAACUAUAAACUAUACCGACUCGAGAUCGGAAGGGUAAUAUAUUAGUCCCUUUCGGCAUCGUAAGAGAAAUCAAAGUCUUUGGGUUCUGGGGGGAGUAUGGUCGCAAGGCUGAAACUUAAAGGAAUUGACGGAAGGGCACCACCAGGAGUGGAGCCUGCGGCUUAAUUUGACUCAACACGGGGAAACUUACCAGGUCAAAACAUGGAUGGGAUUGACAGAUUGAAAGCUCUUUCUUGAUUCUAUGGGUGGUGGUGCAUGGCCGUUCUUAGUUGGUGGAGUGAUUUGUCUGGUUAAUUCCGAUAACGAACGAGACCUUAACCUGCUAACUAGUUUGCUUGUGAACAACAGGUAUAACUUCUUAGAGGGACUAUGUAUGUAAGUGCAUGGAAGUUUAAGGCAAUAACAGGUCUGUGAUGCCCCUAGACGUCCUGGGCCGCACGCGCGCUACACUGACACGUUCAGCGAGCUUAUUUACCUGUCCCGAAAGGGCACGGGAAAUCUUGUUAGGACGUGUCGUGCUGGGGAUAGAUCUUUGCAAUUAUAGAUCUUGAACGAGGAAUUCCUUGUAAGCACAGGUCAUCAGCCUGUGCUGAAUACGUCCCUGCCCUUUGUACACACCGCCCGUCGCUCCUACCGAUUUCGAGUGAUGUGGUGAACUAUCUGGACUGCGGAUGGGCUCGAACCAUUUGCGGGAAGUUUCGUAAACCUUAUCACUUAGAGGAAGGAGAAGUCGUAACAAGGUUUCCGUAGGUGAACCUGCGGAAGGAUCAUUUA